ensembl:lncRNA
AUGACUUUCAAACCGCCCCAAAAAUUCAUUUUCUGCCAUAAAAAUGGGCUUUAAGACCCCCCCAAAAUGCGUUUCUUUUACCCAAAAAAUGGAUCAAAUUCGAUCAGGGUGGGGCGAAGCAGCCAAAUUUUGGGGACAAAAAAGGCAUUUUUUACCAAUCUGUGGAAAAAUUUAAGCUUUGUAAUUAAAAAAAAAAAGUCGAAAUUUCAUUUUGGGGGGUUUUGGGGCUGGGGUGGAAAUGGAGGUUUUUUGAAGCAGACCCCCCAAAAUGCCUUAAAUUGGCUUAAAAAUGCCUUAAAAACGAGCGUUUAUGAGUGGAAAUCUGUGAGAUUUUGGGGGAAGUUUCUCAGAUUUUGGGUCAGUCCGUGAGGAAAACAUGGAGGGCUCCAUUAGCAGUUAUUGGAAGAAUUCGUGUGGAGAUUUUGGGGUAAAAAUGUGAGAUUUUGGGUCAUUUUGUGACAGAAAAGGUGGAGGACUCCAUGAGGAGAUUUUGGAGGAAUUUGUGUGGAGAUUUUGAGGUAAAAAUGUGAGAUUUUGGAUUAUUCCGUGAGGAAAACGUGGAGGACUCCAUGAGGACAUUUUGGAGGGAUUCACGAGGAGAUUUUGAGGUAAAAGUGUGAGAUUUUGGGGUCACUCCGUGAAAAUAGAGAUGGAGGACCCCGAGGAGGACAUUUUGGGGUCAAAUCACGAGGAAAACGAUGCAGGAGACUCCUUAAAAAAGAAAAAAAAAAAAGUUUUGAAGGCACCGAUGUGGAAAUUUUGGGAGAAGUCUCCGAGAUUUUGGGGGCGCUCCCGUCACCCCCCAUUUCCUCCCCUUCGCCCCCCACUUCCGGUUCCAGGGGCCG